rfam:Ovis aries breed Texel chromosome 16, whole genome shotgun sequence.
UCCCUGGUGGCUCAGAAGGUAUAGAAUCUGCCUGUAAUGCAGGAGACCUAGGUUCAAUCCCUGGGUCGGGAA